UCUCCGUAGGUGAACCUGCGGAGGGAUCAUUACUGAGUGAGGGCUCACGCCCGACCUCCAACCCUUUGUGAACCAAACUUGUUGCUUCGGGGGCGACCCUGCCGACGACUUCGUCGCCGGGCGCCCCCGGAGGCCUUCAAACACUGCAUCUUUGCGUCGGAGUUUAAGUAAAUUAAACAAAACUUUCAACAACGGAUCUCUUGGUUCUGGCAUCGAUGAAGAACGCAGC
rnacentral:misc_RNA from 1 species